rnacentral:lncRNA from 1 species
AAAAUGAGACAGAAAAGGAAAAGAAUAACAAUCAAGGUGACCAAGAGGAAUGAGGAGUCACCCUUGAUCAACUCAUUGAUAAAAAACCUACAUGGAAAAGAACAAAGAAGCAAAUCCUAACUGAGCCAAACCCUCAUUUAGCGGAUUACGUAAAGCCACUGUUCUCGAUAAUUAAAAAGAAACGGGUUCAACGUGAUGAAGCAGGGAUGUUUGAAAAGUUCAAGGAAAUU